rnacentral:rRNA from 1 species
GACGAACCGUGCGAGCGUUGUUCGGAAUCACUGGGCUUAAAGGGCGCGUAGGCGGGUUCGCAAGUCUGUGGUGAAAGCCCCCAGCUUAACUGGGGAAGUGCCGUGGAUACUGCGAAUCUUGAGGAGGGUAGGGGCGUCUGGAACGGUCGGUGGAGCGGUGAAAUGCGUUGAUAUCGACCGGAACUCCGGUGGCGAAGGCGAGGCGCUGGACCCUUUCUGACGCUGAGGCGCGAAAGCCAGGGGAGCAAACGGG